rnacentral:rRNA from 1 species
GACGAACGCUGGCGGCGUGCCUAACACAUGCAAGUCGAGCGACGCCCUUCCUUCGGGGAGCUGACGGAGCGGCGAACGGGUGAGUAACACGUGGGUAACCUGCCCCCAGCUCUGGGACAACACCGGGAAACCGGAGACAUACCCGGAUACGACAUCGAGCGUAAUCUCUCGAUGUGGAAAGUUUUUUAUGCUAGGGGUGGGGACGCGGCCUAUCAGCUUGAUGGUGGGGUGAUGGCGCACCGAGGCGACGACGGGUAGCCGGGCUUAGAGGGCGACCGGCCACACUGUGACUGAGACACGGGCCAGACUCCUACGGGAAGGGGCAGUGGGGAAUAUUGCGCAUAGGGCGAAAGUCUGACGCGGCGACGCGGCGUGAGGGAUGUCGGCCGUGGAGUAAUAGACCUCUGUCAGCAGGGACGAAUUCAGACGGUACCUGCAGAAGAAGCACCGGCCAACUACGUG